AACUUACAUAAUGUUAACGAUUUUUUUGUGUUAGCACAUACACUGUAUGUUCUGAUCAGAAAGUGCAAAAGGAAUUUUGCCUUUUUCCAUUGAUUAUUGUAAAGAAAUACAUGUUAAUUUUAACGUCGAAGAUAGUAGCUGAUACAUCGAUUUUCAUUCUACACUUUGAAUUUUUUUGAAUAACUAAGUAUGUUCUUAUCCCAGAAAUAGAUUACCUUAGCGUAUUUGGCACAACUUUUUUAGGAAUUUUGAAUCCUCAAUGCCCUGCAACUUCGUACUUGUUUGGCUUAUAAAUAUUUUGAAAUGAGCAUCACGGAUGGGUCUUAUGAAGACGAAACGCGCGUCUUGCGAACUUACUUUUAAUCAUGGUACCUUUGAUAACUAGAUACAUCAAUUUUCAUUCUACAAUCAUUGCAUUAACUAUGUUAUAUUGGGAUCUAUUCAACCUUCGUAUUUAAAGUACCACGGGAAAUGUUUUGUUGGUUAGGCCAAGUGAAGUUAUUCAUUCAAAACAACCUAGAGAGGACCCACACACGCAGCUUAGAAUAAAUGUCUCUAUUCUUAGAACAGAUAUAGGUGCAUAUAUAUUUUUCCUCCCUCGCCUUUUGCCAAAACACUCCUCUGUGGUGUUGAUUUACUGCAGGUAUGAUUUAUAAUUUACUAUUUAGAAAUGAAUCGAAUCUUUGAUUACAUGUAAUCACGUUUGCUUACUUCGAAUAAAGUUUUAUAGUAUGGAAAUAAAACAGUAUUGUUAGUACUCGCUGAACCUAACAGCAUAAUCAUAUUCGUGAAAAAUUUCAUCAGUAUGAAUAGGUAGUUCGUAAGGUACACAUUUAAAAUUGUACGCCUGG
rnacentral:lncRNA from 1 species